rnacentral:rRNA from 1 species
GAUGAACGCUGGCGGCGUGCCUAACACAUGCAAGUCGAGCGAACAGACGAGGCGCUUGCUCCUCUGACGUUAGCGGAGGACGGGUGAGUCACACGUGGAUCACCCCCCUAUAUGACUGGGAUAACCUCGGGACACCGGCGCUAAUACCGGAUAAUCUAUUGAACCGCAUGGUUCAUUAGUGAAAGUCGGCUUUGCUGUCACUUAUAGAUGGAUCCGGGCGGCAUUAGCUAGUUGGUAGGGUAACGGCUUAUCACGGCGACGAGGCGUAGCCGACCGGAGAGGGGGGUAGGCGGCACGAGAGGUGGGACGCGGUCCAGGCGCCUACGAGAGGCAGCAGUAGGGAAUCUGCCGCAGUGGGCGGGAGCCUGACGGAGCGGCGCGACGUGAGUGGUGAAGGUCUUCGGUGCGUAAUGCUCUGUUAUUGGUGGAAAACAGAUGUGUAAGUAGCUGUACAGGUCUUGACGGUACCGAGUCAAAAAGCCACGGCUAACUACGUG